rnacentral:rRNA from 1 species
GACGAACGCUGGCGGCGUGCUUAACACAUGCAAGUCGAACGGAAAGGCCUCUUUCGGGGGGUACUCGAGUGGCGAACGGGUGAGUAACACGUGAGUAACCUGCCCUUGACUUUGGGAUAACUUCAGGAAACUGGGGCUAAUACCGGAUAGGAGCUCCUGCUGCAUGGUGGGGGUUGGACAGUUUCGGCGGUUGGGGAUGGACUCGCGGCUUAUCAGCUUGUUGGUGGGGUAGUGGCUUACCAAGGCUUUGACGGGUAGCCGGCCUGAGAGGGUGACCGGCCACAUUGGGACUGAGAUACGGCCCAGACUCCUACAGGAGGCAGCAGUGGGGAAUAUUGCACAAUGGGUGGAAGCCUGAUGCAGCAACGCCGUGUGCGGGAUGACGGCCUUCGGGUUGUAAACCGCUUUCGCUCAUGACGAAGCUUUGUGUGACGGUAGUGGGUAAAGAAGCACCGGCUAACUACGUG